GGUCAAGCUACAAAGAGCGCACGGUGGAUGCCUUGGCACCAGGAGCCGAUGAAGGGCGUAGAACUCUGCGAAAAGCCUCGGGUAGUUGAGUGCAAACGUUAAUCCGGGGAUUCCCGAAUGGGGCAACCUGCCUGGACGAUGACUCCAGGCACUCUGGGCUGAACACAUAGGCCCAGUAGAGGGCA
rnacentral:rRNA from 1 species